GACGAACGCUGGCGGCGUGCCUAAUACAUGCAAGUCGAGCGAAUGGAAGGGAGCUUGCUCCCUGAAGUUAGCGGCGGACGGGUGAGUAACACGUGGGCAACCUGCCUGUAAGACUGGGAUAACUUCGGGAAACCGGAGCUAAUACCGGAUACGUUCUUUCCUCGCAUGAGGAAAGAUGGAAAGAUGGUUUCGGCUAUCACUUACAGAUGGGCCCGCGGCGCAUUAGCUAGUUGGUGGGGUAAUGGCCCACCAAGGCGACGAUGCGUAGCCGACCUGAGAGGGGGAUCGGCCACACUGGGACUGAGACGCGGCCCAGACUCCUACGGGAGGCAGCAGUAGGGAAUCUUCCGCAAUGGACGAAAGUCUGACGGAGCAACGCCGCGUGAGCGAAGAAGGCCUUCGGGUCGUAAAGCUCUGUUGUCAGGGAAGAACAAGUGCCAGAGUAACUGCUGGCACCUUGACGGUACCUGACCAGAAAGCCACGGCUAACUACGUGCCAGCCGCCGCCGUAA
rnacentral:rRNA from 1 species